AUGGCUCACGAGGAGGAUGAGAAGGAUGCGGUAGUGGCUACCGGAGUUUGGUGAUGGAGAAGUUAAAGGAGGAGCGAGAUGAUGGCUGAGGCUUGAGAUUGGAGGCCACGGCCUCAUUGUCAUGCAUGUCGUUGCCGGCGACGAUCGAGGUGGAAGAGAGGAUGGUCUAGGAGAAGAUCAACCGGACUGCUCGUACGAGAAAUGAGUGAAUGUGGCACAAGCAAGAGGAGCGGAACGGGGUAGAUUGUUGGGGUCCCCAAGAGGGAGUUGUAGAGGAC
rnacentral:lncRNA from 1 species